GUUGUGUCAUGUCAACCCGUGUACAUAAACGGGUCAAAAUCUUUGGCCCUAACCUGCUAACUUCAUGUCGGGUCCGUAUCGGAUUGUCAUGUCGUGCCAGAUUUUCUCAGGUCUAGUUUUUAUCGUCCUAGUUUAUUUUUUACAAUAUUGUAUCCGGUGAUAACAUUAAAAUUACUUUUAAAGCUAGGUUUAUAAAUUUAUAUUUAUCAUUUAAAAUCUAUAUUAUUAGCUUUUUAACAACUAAAAAUUAUUUUAUCACACUCACUUAAUAAGAAAAAAGGGUUUUGUGCACCAAAACCCUACAAACUUGCACAUUUGUAUUUAAAUGGUCACUAAAAUAAAAUUUGGACCUCAUAGACCAUCAAAUUCAAAAAAUACAUUUUUAAAUAAGCAAAUGUCUACAUUAUUUAGUCGGUUUCCUAGUUCUAUCCAUGAUGUGGCAUUGACUGUCUAUUGUCAACGAUUUACUAUCCUAGUCGGCUAUUCCAUGUGUGUUUUGGGUAAUAAAAAGGAUAAUAACGGUUGAUAUCCUCUUAAAUGAGUCCGAACGAUGCAGUGAAGUUCUAAAGGACGAAGAUCGGCAAUAUUGUUUCCGUUUUCAGUAAGCUUUAUCUGGUUGUUGCUUAUUUUCCUUCUUCUUGUACAACAUCUGAACUACAUGGCAAAGCCUAAUGAUAAUGCUAUUUACUUGGAAGUCGAUCUUAACUUUAAUGACGUUUUGGUUCGUCACCCAUGCUCUUAUGUUGGAGGUGAGCAUUAAUUGUUUAUUGAUGUCGAUUCUGUUAUAAUGGACUUCGUUGGAUUUGUGACUUUCCUAGAAAGAUUUACUGGAGUAGACUUUGAGAAAUUAUAUUACUCCUUACGUAAUCGUCCUUUAUCCAGUGGCAUUAGGUUCAUAUAAAAUGAAAUGAACUAUGCCACUUUAUAGAUACGGCUUAUGAAGACGCGAAAAUCCCAAUAGCCAUAUAUUUGGAUCACACAGGGGAUGGUUUGGAGGAUUGGUUCGAAUUAGGUAGUGAUGGAACCGGUUCUGUAAUCCAGAGUGAAGAUAAAGAACCUUCAGAAAUAGACCAUAUGUUUGGAGACAUUGAAUUUGAGGACGAAAUCAUUCCAGGUGAUUUUAUUCCUUUAAACAAGAUUGUUGAUGAUGAAUUACCGAAAAAGUUGUGUCCAAAUAGGGAGAACAAUGACAAUAGUGAAAAGGGAGUGAAUGCAGAUGAUGUAGACCAUUCUGUUUUUAAUCAUGCAAUACGUUGGAAGCAACACAAACCAAUUUUAGGUAUGAGGUGUGAGAAUCUGGGACAACUUAUGAGCAUGUUAUAUAAUUAUGUUAUUUCUAAUGGAUCAAUUAUGUUUUAGGCAAAAUGAUAGUAAGAGGCUUUUGGUAAUGUGUUGUAAAUGGGCUUGCAUCUUCAGACUUUGGGCAUAUUAGAUGAGUGAAGAACAGUUAUUUCAAAUAAAAUCACUAAAAGAAGACCAUCAAUAUUCUAGAAACUUCAAGUUAGGUUCUAUUAUGAAUUACAAAUCGCUUAGUUCACACUACAACAAGGAUAUGCUGCAUAGAAAAACAACUAACAAUUAGACAGCUUAGUCGGAGAUCAUUUAGCAGUUUGGUUUUAAGGUUAGUUUAUGUCAAUAUAAAAGGGUCAGGAAGCAUGCCAUGACUAUUAUUAAAGGCACUCUCAUUGAACAUUAUUCAAAACUAUGGUCAUAUAUAGAGGAUAUUAGAAGAUCAAAUCUAGUUUCUACUGUGAAGAUAGUUGUAGUUUCAAUGCUAGAUAGAAGUCCAUACUUUAGUAAAUUUUAUGUUUGUUUAGGUGGUGUGAAGAAAGUAAACCUUGUAGGUUGUAGAAGAAAGUUGGGAUUAAUGCAUGUUUCUUGAAAUGAAUUUUUCAUGGGGAGUGGUUAUGUGUUGUUAGAAGAGAUGCUAACAAUCAAAUUUACCCAAUUGCUUGAGCAUUUAUUUGUGUUGACAACAAGGAAAAAUUGAAAUGGUUUCUAGAAUUCUUAAUUGAUUAUCUUAAUCUAGAAUUAGGUCAAGGUUUCACUGUGAUGUCAUACCAAAACAAGCUAUGGUUUUUGUACCCAUAUUUUUUGCAUUGCAUUUACUAAUGAUUAUUAAUUUACUAUAUAUUAAGGGAUUAUUGAAGGUUGUGUAGGAGUUUCCACCCUAAGCUGAGUAUAGACAAUGUGCAAGGCACAUACUCUAAAACCUCAAGAAAAGUUGUCGAGGGUCUCAUUUUGAAAACAUGACCAAGAGUUAGCAGGAAUCCAACCAAGUUACUAGUGAAACGAUUCAAGAAAAAUCACACUUCCCAAGUAUUGAUUAAUAGCAUUUUGUUUAUAUUGUUUGUGAUACCCCCGGCCGCCGGCGGAACGUCGGGCGGUGCGAAUGUAGGGAAAUUGGAUCGAGGCAUAUAUAUGUAUAUAGAACAUAACACAAAACUAUAUCACAAACAUUACUUUUAUUUAUUAUAAAUUAUUUUGGUAUUACAUUGUUUAAAAAGUCAAGCACACAUCCUCGACACAACUAUCGUCCACACUCAUCUCCAUGAGAAUACAUAUAUAUUUGAAAAUGUCAGCAUAAUGUUGGUGAGUGCACAUGUUUUAUAAUUUAUUUGGGCGUAUUAAUUUAAGAUCCUUUUUCUUUUAGAAAAACCUUUCUUAAAGUAUUUUAUCAACCCUAGCUUACUAUCUUUCCAGGAUAUCUAACGAUCCUAUCUUAUUAUCUUUUAGGAUGUUUUAUUAAUCCUAAUUUACUAUUUUUGUAGGAUAUCUAAAUAAUCCUAACAUAUUUUAUCUACCAUUUUAAGGCAUCCAUAAUGGUAGUUUGAUCUCUAAGGUGUUUGUAAUGUAUUACCAUGAGCCCCCAUAACCGACACUUUUUGACUAGUGAUUUCCCGUCCACGACGCUUCAUUGGAUGUUGAAUAGUGAUUAAUAAGAAAUUUAGCCGGCAGGAAUUGUAGCUAGCAAUCGAGGUGGGGGUGUAAAUCCCCGUAUAGAUCUAUACAUAUAUUUGUAGCUUUUGCAAGAUUAACGAUUAUAGGUAUCGGGGUUGCCGAAAUUAAUCAGGCUAAGGAUGAAUAUUAACAUCUCACUAACGCAUUAACCUUAGGUAUUUUAUCUUUUAUCUUUGAUCUCUUAUCUUAGUGAUUUCUUAUAAUUAUCAUAAUAUAAACCCCUUUAAUUUAAUAUUUGAUAAUUAUAGCUUUUAAAUCUCAUAAUUAUUUUGUAUGUAUGUAUGUAUGUAUGUAUGUAUGUAUGUAUAUAUAUAUAUAUAUAUAUAUAUAUAUAUAUAUAUAUAUAUAUAUUAUCUUGUGAUACAUAUCUAUAUACCCUAAUUACGGUUAUUUUGAAAAUAGGAUAUUUGGGUAGGGUAAUGAUUAGGUACGGCACAUAUCCCUAUAUUUGAGCAACAUUAGUUCUAAGUACUAUGUUAUCCUAGAAAUUUGGUCAUUAUAACCUCUAGGUAUUAUCUAUUCCUUGACUAUCGGGUAUCAUAACUCUUAGGCAUAGUAUCAUAACUUACAACUAGGUAUGGUAUUUGUAACAUCCCAUUUUAAAGAGAUUAAUUAGAUAAUAAAUUAGGAACCCCGAGAUGUAAUUAUUAUUAUUAUUUUAUAUUAUUUGAGCCUAAAAUCGAAUAAUAAUUAAUAAAGUGUUGGUUUCGGGAAGCCAAAUGUCACACCCCAAAACCGAAGGCGGAAACAUUUCCGGGGUUGACUCUACGUUGAGUAUCAAAUCCAAUGUACAUAGUAAGUAAAGUAAAACAACCAUUACAUUACAUAUAUAAAAGUUUACAUUUGUUUCAAAAGUAAGUUGUAUAGUUGUGAUACAUAGUAUAUAUAAAAAAAAUGAGACAAGUCUUCUGCGCACACCAUCUUUUGAUAAAAGUAUCUUCGGGUACCUGUUCUAAUGUUGACCUGAGAAUACAAGCGAUUUGAAAAUCAGCAUAACACUGGUGAGUUCAUAAGCGGUUUUGUUUUGUGAAAAUGUUCAAGUUUCCUUUCUGUUUCUGAAAAUGUUACACACACCAAGAAAAUCCCAUAUUUUCUUAAAAAGGUUGAUUAUUGUUUCACAACAUGAAAAGUAAAGUUGUACACUGAAAACAUGUAUAUUCUUGUGGAAAUGUAUAGUUUGGUUAUCUGUUUUGGUUAAGUACAAAUGUAUUCCCAGGAAAGUCCCAUACUUUCCUGAAUUGUUGGUUAUCAAAUGUAAAAGAUAUAUUCUGAAAAACAUGUUUACCCUUCUAAGAUGUAAAGUUACCCGGUUUAUUACCCUUUUUUAGUUAUGUAUAAUGUUUCCCCAGGAAAGUCCCAUACUUUCCUGAAUGUUGGUUAUCAAUGCGGAAGAUGUUUACAGAAAACUGGUUAUCUUGUGAAAUGUAUUACGUUAUUCGUUAUUACUAUUAAGUAAAUAUAUGUUAUCCUAAUUGCGAGUUCCAUAACCAUACGAUAGACUAGAUGUGGCAAUAAGUAGUCCACAUCACCUUAUGACUUUCGUCACCCUUGAACCAUUUCGGUUCAGUUGUAGCUAGCAGCCAGGUGUGGGGUAGUCAGCCCCGUAUAGAUCUAUACACUCAAGUCACGCUCCCUAUCCUAGAGUUUCUGGUUACGGGUGAAGUUCUCCACUCGCGUAUCUCUGUGGAGUGUUCGCCGAUGACGUGUCUCCAAUCAUACAGGACUAACAAUUUACUAGUAAUAAUAUGAUAAUCCUCCACUCGCGUAUCUUUGUGGAGUGUUCCCGAGGACAAAACUGUGUACAUGUUUUAUGUUCAAAGGUUCUAAUGUCAUGCUUUUAACUGAUAAAAUAUGGAAAACCAUUUGUGAAAUAUAUAAAAUAUAACAGUUUACAUUUCCAUUUCACAAAUAUAUGUUUACGUGAUCUACAUGUUCAAACGGUUAUCAGUUGUAACAAUCAGUGUUAAAAGCAUAUAAAAUAUGAAACAGACACAUGAAAACAAGUUUUGAGUACAAGUAAUUCCUUGUACUUGCAUAUGUUCCCCCCGCCCCCCCCCAAAAACACGAAAAAAACNNNNNNNNNNNNNNNNNNNNNNNNNNNNNNNNNNNNNNNNNNNNNNNNNNNNNNNNNNNNNNNNNNNNNNNNGAAACACACACAUGAAAACAAGUUUUGAGUACAAGUAAUUCCUUGUACUUUGCUUGUAUUCCCCCCUGAAAACAGUGAAAAACAGUGAAAAAGGGUAGGGGUAUGAACUCACCAGACGAGGAAAUGCGACUGUUUCGAGUACUAAACGUUGGUUCGGGGCUUGAUUACUCGCGAUGUUCCUAUGUAAAAUGGAAUAUUGUCCAAAUAUAUCUAAUUAGAUUUACAAAUACUAAUUAGAUGGAAUAUUACACUCCAAUGAGCUAAAACACUUCAAAACGAGUGUUUGGAGUGACCCGAGUGACAUCUACGGACUUGAAAUGAAGCGAGGGACUUGGGAUUUGAGUUUACUCCUCAAGAGUAAAAUCCCUAAUGGAGUUUGUGGCCAUAUAUCCCCUACAUACAUGAGUUCACGGCCGUGAACUCAUGUUUGAGUGAUUUUGAGUGUUAAAUGGCUUAUAUGGACAUGGGAAAUGCUAGAAUGGAUUUUUCUAAUGCCUUGGAUUAAAUUGUAUGAACACAUACAUCACAUAUGGGAGUUCACGGCUGUAAACUUGGAGUUUACGGCCGUAAACUCCCCAAAGCUCAAACCAUAUUUAUUUUGUGAUGCUUAAGACAAUCAUAUGUGGUUCUAACUAAUGUUCCAAGCCUUGGUAUGAAUUUAGGGCAUCAUUUGACAUGUAUAAAGGAGUUUACGGCCCAUGAACAUGUUCUUGGGGUGCCUUGGCCGUAAACACCUAAUUGGAGGGUGUUUGAUAUGUUUAAGGUCCCCAAACUAUUUUUAGAUGAUUCUAGGAUUUAUUCUAAGGCUAUUCACUACAAGAAAAAAGGCCUUUUACGACGCUCAUUGCGCGUCGUAAAUGGCUCAGACGACGCGCAAAUGCGUGUCAAGGAAGGCCAUGUCAUAAAGAUAGACGACGCGCAUGUGCGCGUCGUCUAGAGACGACGCGCAUUUACGACGCGCAUUUACGACACGCAUUUACGACGCGCGGUUACGACACGCAAUGCGUAUCAAGGAAGGCCCUGUCAUAAAGGAAGAUGACACGCAUUCGCGUGUCGUAACCUUACGACGCGCGUGUUAAUGACACGCAAUGCGUAUCAAGAAAGCCCCUGUCAAGAAAGGCCAUGUCAUAAAUGAAGAUGACACACAUUUUUGCGUAUCAUAAUUUUAAAUGUUCUAAAAAAAAUAUAUUUAUAUAUUUAUUAAUUUUUAAAUUAAAUUUGCAUUUAAUGUCUCAUAACAAGAAAAUAAAAUACCAUAUAUAAAAAAUACUAUCCAUUACAUAAAAUUUUUUGUCAUACAAAUAACAAACUGUAUUUUAUAUUCAUACAUAUGAUUACAUUAUUCAUUAAAAAAAACAUAUACAUACAUCUUCCCCUAAAAUGUUAUUACAUGAUGUUGGCCACUUCAUUGAUGGAUCACCAAGAGGAAAAACAACAACUAACCUAAAUGUUCCAUGAUGUGCCGAUACUCAUGUCCUGUAACUUUAAAUAAUAAUAAAUAAUAAUAAAUAUUAAUUGGAAGUAGUGAUAAGUUAUUAAAUCAAACAUACCACACCAACACUGUUUUUGACAAGAUUGCCUCUGUUUUCUGCACUUGCUUGAUGUAGCAUCUGUUUCACAACCAAUCCCCCCAUGCUGCAAUACAAUAUAAUAAUAUAUUAACAAGAAUACCAAAAUGGCUAAAAGAGAAAUUCUUCUGUUUUUUCUCUUUCAUUCUUAAUUAAAUAUUUCAACCUAUGAGUUACAAAUACAACAGGUCGAUCUCCAAUACGUGCUGCAAUAAGCUUUUCCAACAGCAUCGAGCUAACUUCCUACAAAAUUUCACAUUCCAAUUUAUUUACAUUUCCAAUAACCAAACAUCUCCAAAUCUCAUUUAUUUUUUAAAUAUAUUUCUAAUAACACACCACAAACCUGAAGAGGCAAGCUUGAUCCAGACCAUUGUGUAAGAUUCGUCUGCAAAACAAAAGAUAUAACUCAAACUUCAUUUACAAUUUACAAUCAUGUUUUUAUACAAAAACAAUUUAUAAUUUUAUAUAAUCACAAACCUUGUGCAUCAUAUGCUUCAAUUGCUGAUAACUUCUCAUAAUCAUCACUUAAUAAAAAGCGGCGUAACAGAGGAAUUAUGCCAUAAUCGAUUAUUUUCUUUUGAGAACUUACAGGAGGUGUGAGGCACUUUGUGGUUGCAUUUGGUUUGAGGAACUUCUUUGUAAUCAUGUGUUACCAGGUCUCUCAGAAGACUUCACUUCACUACCAGGUUUAUUUGUACUACUGUCUUUGAUGCAAUGAAACCGAAGAAGAAAUAUAUUUUUUCUGAGUAAAUGACCUAAAUACUCUCCGAAUCGUAAAUCAUAAUAAGAAGUAACAGACCUUGUAGGAGGCAAUGCAGAGGUCUGGCCAGAUGGCCGAGCAUGAUAAGCACUAUCCAUUGUAGGAAACAAAUCAUUGAGCAAGAAUACUAAACAUAAAAUAAGCAUAAACAAUAAAUAAAAAUUAUAUAAUAUAAAUAUAUACCUCUGGAUUAUUGACUACAUAACUUGGUACCUCAUCUUGCCAAAACAAGUUUAUGUUUUCUGGAAAUAGUGAAGCCAAGUAACACAAUACCUGAAAAUCCCAUGAAGAGAAAAGUAAUUAUCUAUUAUUAUUAGUAAAAAAAACUUACAAAAAAAAAACUUACCGUUAAAAUGGGCAACUUACAAGAAAAAAAAAUAACUUACUGUUAAAAUAGGCAAUUAAACUGCCAUUACAGGAGGAAUUACCUAUCAGUAACUAAAAUGGCUAACUCUAUAACUUAAAGGGUAAAAUGGGCAAUUUACAAGAAAAAAAAAUUAAAAAACAUUUACAUAUGCAUGAAUAUAAAUCAUGAGUCUUAAAUGCCCUCUAAUGAUGACAAAAUAAGGCUUAUUGUCUUAAGUGCCCUCUAAUGAUGACAAAAAUAUGACAGAUUUACCCAUAUAUAGAAUUCAAGAUAUUACCUAUAUUUCCACUUCUCUAGAUUUCUUUGCACCGAUGCUUUUCUUCUUGCUAAACCUUCAACUUUGAAAAUUUAACCACAAAAUUGUCAAAAGCAGAACAUCAUUUAUAGGUCAAUUUUGGUAAUUUUGUAUAUUUACCAGAGAUUUCUUCAUGCGAUAUAUUGCUUUCCUCUUUGUUCAAUCGAUAGUUAUUAGUCGUUCUCACUGCAUAAGUCAACUUAACUUAGUAAUAUUACUUCUUUUUUCAGCAUUAUUAGGGUGAAAUACAUCAUACAUUUAUUUUUUGUACCUGUUCGCAAGAUUGGCAGAUUGAUGUUUGGAGGUUGUUGCAACAAGUUUCCAUCAACUGGAUCCUCAUGAGGAAACUGAAGAGGGCUUGCAGCAAGCUGUAAUAAGGCACGUUCCUGAAAUGAAACUAUUCAGUUAGUGACAUUGACAUUAAUAAUUAAUUACAAGCUGAAUUUUGCAUAAUAAGAUAUUAUAUUAUAUAUACCUUAUCAGUUGGGAUAUCAUCAUACACAUUCACCUUCCCACUAUAAAAUAUUGGCAUCUGUCCUUUUUCCUCUUCUAUCACACUACCAAUCCUGGAAGAUUCAAUUAUAACUUUAGUCCUUUUCCCAUUUCAACUUAAAGCAUACUCUCGAUAUUUUUUGUCCCCAUAUAUGUCAUUGAUGGCAUGAAUAUCGAUUUUGCCUAUAGAAUCAUCAUCACCUGUUUUCAUUCCAUCAUAACAAAUUUAAAAGAAAUUUAAAAAUAUAAUGAAACAAGAAUGUGAUAAUUGUCAAGUUGGUGAACUUGACACCUUGCUAAGAAUCCUCCCUUGCCUUUUGUCCAGCCGGAAUGACAACUUCCAAUGGCAGAGAUGCAAAUGAUGACCAAUGCUCAUGCUUUGACCUUGCUAUGUCAACGCAUAUACCUUAAAAACAAGAAAGAUAAGGCAUCAUAACAAACACAACAUAGAUGGAAAAAAGAUUCAUUUAUAUGAAGAUUAUCAUGUUGCGCAACUAAACCCCAAGCCAUCACCUUUCUAAAACCACCUCUUGUUGAAAAUAUUCAAAAACAAGUAACCUUACAUUUUGUGAAAAUUAAAGUCAUAUGUCUCAUUGAGGCAUUUCAUCAAACAUGUGAAGUGCAAUUGGGUUUUCUACUAAAUUCAUAAGUAUAAAUGGAAGCACUUAUUCUCUGCACCAUGUUGAUGAUCUGGACAAAAUUUUCCAUCAUAUUCAUCAACAAAGGACCUAGUUGACAAAACAAUUUGACCCAACUGAAAAACUUACAAAUAUGUUAGGGCUAUGAACCCCAGACCAGGAGGGAGGGGUUGCACAAACCCACCUCUAGGAUGAUUUCUAAAAUACCAGGGGAGAUUUCUUUUUCUUUGUGCAUAUAUCAUAUGUAACUUUUGCCAGUUGUGAUAUGUCCCAUUUGUGCUGUAGAAGUUUUUUUUUUUUUUUUUUUUUUUUUUUUUUUUUANUUUUUUUUUUUUUUGUUUUUAGGUGUAAAAAGAUUUCAUCCUCCAAUACAGAGACGAACACCAUCAUUAUGAGACAGAUUAGAAAUCACACUGCAGAAGAUGCCUACAAGGUAAAAACCUAAUCAAUUCAGAGAUAUUUUAGAGUUGGAAAUUGAAUUAAAAUAGGAGAACUUACCCUCCAAAUGUUGCUCGAGCAUGUGGAACUGCUCUUGUAGGUUACAAGCUUGUGAGUUGAGCAAUAAAAGCCAAAGAACACAAUAUGAAAAAUAUUUAGUAACAUGGGUUUACCUACCGUACAUGGGUUCUUCUCCAUCAUCAAAAUAACUGUUGUUUCCUGAAUAAAUCCAUUAAUAGAGUGACAAGAAAAAAAAUAAUUACGCAAACACCAAGGGGUUAAGCAAGGAAUCGAAGGUAUUUUUUAUAAAAAUUUCUUUUUGGGGAUCAAUUAUAGAGAUGUUUAACGGUUAGAAUAGAAGAACUGAUGAAAUAUGUUCCAGAUUUCCUUGAAAAACAAAUGAGAAAACCAAUAAAAGAAUGACAAUGUUGUAAAUUUUUUUACAUAAUUACAUUUUGUUGAAGAAAAACGAACCAGAUUGAUAACGUCAAACCUGGAAACAGAGCAUGGUAACCCUAAACAGUAAACAUAUCGAUUUCAGUGUUUGUCUUCAACUUCAACUGGGAGAAAGGCGUUAAAUGGUAUAAGGUACAAAUGGUUUGUGGAGGCAGGUGGAGAGAGAAUGAUAACGAUAGAGGGAAAAGUAGACGACGAUGAAGUAAAAUCAGGUCUCCGUUGGGAAGAAGUAGAUGGCGAUGGAAUCGAGGUAGGAUUUGUGAAGGCUUUGCAAUCGGUAAUAAAUCGUUUAAUCAGAGAGCAAUCGAAAGGAACUGGGGUAAUAACCCCCAAAUUUGAAACAACUGAAUUUCGGAGGUGGGGGUGGGGAAGAGGUGAGCGGAGUUCGUCGGUGGGCAGUGAAGCGGUGGAGGUUUGAGAAUCGAGAGAGAACAAAGAAAGAAAAGGGGUUUUCGCGGGGAUAAGCUAGGGUUUUCAGCUGGUGGAAACAAAGCGGGGUUUUUAAUUUUUGGGAUUUCAUUUCCCCCGGGAUGGAUGCGCGUUUCAUUAAAAUUUAUAAAACGACGUGGUUAGACGACGCACAUUUUAUUUAAGGUGCCCUCCGUGUUUUUUUUUCGUUUUUUAGACACUAAUUUUAGGGCACGCAAAAAAUGUGUGUUGUAUAUCCUUUAAAUUUUAGAAGAGAUGACAUUAUUUUUACCUCACACACUUUUGCGUAUCGUAAAUCCGUGCGUAUCGUAAAUUGCGCGUCGUAAAAGGCUGUUUUUCUUGUAGUGAUUGGUGGUGUUGGAUGGCUUUCUAACAUGUUUAAAUGAGUUUACUCCCCAAGAAUGAGGAGUUUACGGCCCAAGAAAGUUCCUUGGCCAUAAACUCAUAUUUUUCCCUCAAAAUCCAUGUUUAGGGUGUUCUAAGUCAGGGUUUGAAAGCAUUAAGGUCAUAUCUAAGUCCCAAUGUUGGUUUGGAAGGGUUAAAUUGCUCAAAAACCCAUGUUUUUAUGUGUUUACGGCCCAAGCAUGCUCCUUGGACGUAAACACAUGUUCCAGGUCCAAAAUGAUAAUUUAAACUUAAAUUUGAAGGCCUNAGGCCUAAGAGGUUAAACAACAAGUUGGGGAUGUUACCUCAAAGAUUUGGAGCCUUAAUUCAAUGUUUUGGACCUUGAAUCUUUGAUGAGGAGAGAAGUUAGAGAGAGAGUAGUGAGAUGAAGCAAAAGCUUCAAAUGAAGGCUUAGAACACUUUAAAUAGUGUUUGAGAAUUGGACACGGUGGAAUUCUACCCGAUACCGACAUUAGACGGGGCUUUUGGUCGCACCCGGCCAAGUUGCCGUAACCCGAUAUGGUUGAUUCUAGAAAUGUUCCGAUCACUAGAAUGAGGUGUUAGAAUGAUUUAUAAAUGUAUUAGGACACCCAUUAAGUCAUUUUAGAUAUUUACAAUUUAAUGACUUAAUUAAAUGGCUAAAUCGGAAACGAAUUUGAAAACGACGCUUGGUUGAUCGAAUUUGAUUACCAAAAGGGUUACAAGUAAUGAUACGAAAUUUCGGGUUGUUACAUUAUCCCCCCGUUAGAGGGAAUUUCGUCCCGAAAUUCAAAAUUAAUAUACAAUACAAGAUAAAAAUCAUGGAUGUGGAAAGACAUGUGGAUACUGUUGUUUCAUCGAGUCUUCACGCCCCCAAGUGAACUCUGGUCCCCGCCUGGCAUUCCAGCGAACCUUCACUAACGGGAUGCGGCUUUGCUUUGUACGUUUGAUAUCUCGAUCCAUGAUUUCGAUUGGUUCCUGCACGAAGUUGAGGUUUUCAUUGAUAUCAAUCUCAUCUAAGGGAAUCACUAGGGUCUCAUCAGAUAAGCAUUUCUUGAGAUUCGAAACAUGGAAGACGGGAUGAAUGUUACUGAGCUCAUGAGGUAAACGAAGUAUAUAGGCUACCGAACCGGUCCUGGCGAGGAUCUCGAAGGGUCCAAUGUACCUAGGGUUAAGUUUUCCACGCUUUCCAAAGCGUACCGUGCCUUUCCAGGGCGAGACUUUCAACAGGACACAGUCUCCAACCUGGAAUUCCAGAGGUUUCCGACGGAUAUCAGUGUAACUCUUUUGGCGAUCUCGUGAAGCUUUCGAUCAUUCUUGGAUUUGGAUGAUCUUCUCAGUGGUUUCGCGGAUGAUUUCAGGACCAGUGAGAGCACUGCCGGGGACUUGACUCUUGGCCAGCUGUGUGUCCCCCAACUCGGCCCAGCACAGAGGGGAUCUACAUUUACGACCGUAUAGGGAUUCAAACGGGGCAGCCGUGAUGCUGGUGUGAUAACUAUUGUUGUACGAGAACUCGAUCAAAGGUAGAUGUGUGUCCCACGACUUUCCAAAAUCAAUGACACAUGCCCUAAGCAUGUCCUCCAGGGUUUGGAUUGUUCUCUCACUCUGUCCAUUGGUCUGAGGAUGAUACGCCGUGCUCAUGUCUAGUUUGGUUCCAAGAGCCUUCUGGAGGGACUGCCAGAAUCUGGAGGUAAACCUGUUAUCUCGAUCAGAGAUAAUGGACGCAGGUACACCGUGCAGUCGAACUACCUCUUGGAUGAAAAUUCGCGCGAGUCUUUCCAUCUUAAAUGAUUCUUUGAUUGGGAUGAAGUGAGCGGACUUUGUCAAACGAUCGACAAUUACCCAAAUGGUGUCGUACCCACUCGGACACUUGGGUAGUUUGGUGAUGAAAUCCAUGGUAAUCAUCUCCCAUUUCCAUUCGGGUAUCUCGGGCUGCUGGAGCAAACUCGAGGGUUUCUGGUGCUCAACUUUAACCUUGGCGCAAGUCAGACACUUGCCCACAAACGUAGCUAUCUCAGCUUUCAUGUUUGGCCACCAAUAUUGUUUCUUGAGAUCCAGGUAAAUCUUGUCCGAACCCGGGCGAACAGAGUAUAUGGUCUUGUGUGCUUCCUCCAUGACAAUCUCCCUGAAUUCCGGACUUUNCCAUGACAAUCUCCCUGAAUCCUCCGGACUUUGGAAUCCAUAUUCGAUCCAUGAAGCAGUAGACUCCGUCACCUCUAAUCUCAAGUUUCUUUUCCAUUCUUCUCAAGGCUUCGAUCGACACGUUCUCGGGUUUGAGGGCUUCUAACUGGGCUUCUUGGAUUUGCAUGGAUAAGUUGGAAUGUAUGGUCAUCGACAGGGUCUUCACCUUUCGGCUCAAACUCUUCUUUCGGCUAAGGGCAUCUGCUACCACAUUGGCCUUGCCGGGAUGGUAACGGAUUUCACACUCAUAAUCACUGAGUAGUUCUACCCAUCGUCGUUGCCUCAUGUUCAAGUCUUUCUGAUCAAAGAUGUGCUGCAGACUCUUAUGGUCAGUGAAGAUCAUACACUUAGUUCUGUAGAGGUAAUGUCUCCAAAUCUUCAGUGCAAAGACUACGACUCUUAAUUCCAAAUCAUGUGUGGUAUAGUUGACCUCGUGUGCUUUCAGUUGUCUAGAAGCAUAAGCAAUUACCUUUCCUCUUUGCAUAAGCACACAACCUAAGCCUUGAUUAAACGCAUCGCAGUAGACAACGAAAUCCUCUGUCCCUUCGGGUAGGGACAGAACAGGCGCGCUGCACAAGGCUUUCUUCAACGUCUGGAAUGCAGUUUCUUGAUUAACACUCCAACAAAAGGGUACACCUUUCUGUGUUAGAGCGGUUAAGGGUUUGGCGAUUCUGGAAAAGUUCUGGAUAAAUCUCCGAUAAUAGCCGGCGAGACCCAAGAAUUGUCGGAUUUCUGUGGGUGUCUUCGGUGUCGACCAAUUCUCUAUCGCUUUAAUCUUGGAAGGAUCUACAUAAAUACCCUCCUCGCUUACCACGUGACCGAGGAAAGUUACCUUCCGAAUCCAGAACUCACACUUGGAAAAUUUCGCGUACAACUUCUCGGAUCUAAGGGUUUCCAACACUAACCUCAAGUGUUGUUUGUGAUCUUCUUCACUUCGGGAAUAGACAAGUAUGUCAUCAAUGAAUACAAUGACAAACUUAUCCAGAUAAGGACGACACACCUGGUUCAUCAGGUCCAUAAACACUGUCGGUGCAUUGGUUAGACCGAAGGGCAUGACUACGAAUUCGUAGUGUCCAUACCGAGUUCUGAAAGCUGUUUUGGAAACAUCACUCUCAUGAACUCGUAGCUGAUGGUACCCUGACCGAAGGUCUAUCUUGGAGAAGUAACUGGCUCCCUGGAGUUGAUCGAAGAGGUCAUCUAUUCGCGGAAGAGGAUACAUGUUCUUGACGGUCAACUUGUUCAGCUCGUGAUAAUCAAUACACAUCCAGAAGGAUCCAUCUUUCUUCUUGACAAACAAUACCGGAGCUCCCCAGGGUGAGGAACUCGGUCUAAUGAAUCCUUUACUGAGCAACUCAUUGAGUUGACUGGAUAACUCCUGCAUUUCUGCUGGAGCUAAACGAUAUGGAGAUUUCGCUAUGGGAGUAGCUCCAGGAAUUAGGUCAAUACAGAACUCGACCUGACGCUCGGGAGGAAUCCCUGGAAGCUCUUCGGGAAAUACAUCAGGAAAGUUACAGACUUCGGGGAUGCUCGCGAGGUCUUUAACUUCCUGUUUCUCGUUGAUUACAUGGGAUAAGAAUGCAAUGCACUCCUUUCUCAGGAGCUUUUGAGCAUUGAUGCAAGAAAUGAUACGAAGAUUGGUACUGAGUUUAUCGCCAUAGAUUACGAGAGUUUGAUUCGAAGGAAGGUUGAGACGGAUGGCUUUUUCGAAACAGAGGAUAUCAGCAUGAUUGGGACUCAACCAAUCCAUGCCAAUGAUGACAUCAAAGCCCUUUAUGGAAAUUGGCAUCAGAUCGAUGGGAAAUGAAUGGUCAUUCAGGGUAAGGGUACAACUUAUGAAUAUCUCGUUAGCGCUUUCUUUCUCACUGUUAGCCAUCUCGACGGUAAACGUUUCAGUUAAAGGUUGGGGAUUAUGUUUUAGGUUAUGCUUGAAUGAAUGACUAACAAAGCUUCUUUCAGCACCCGAAUCGAAAAGAAUACUAGCAUAUGAGUUGUCAAGAAGGAACGUACCCGAGACUACAGUAGGAUCGGUGACUGCUUCCUCCCGUCCUAUGGCUAGGACUCUCCCGGUAUUAUCAGCUGUUGACUUCUUAGGGCAGUUCCUUUUAAAGUGCCCAACCUCUCUACAGUUAUAGCAGGCUUGACCAACGCCUGCUCCAGAUGAUUGAUUGGCCGAUUGAGCUGGAGCUUUACAGAAUCGGACCUUGUGCCCCUUCUUACCACAAUUGGUACAGGAUAGUUCUCGGCAGGGGCCGAGGUUGUGGUGAUAUUUGCACUUGUCACACAGAGGAAGCCUACCAGCAUAUCUGCUAGUAGGAGUUGGAGUUGUGGAUUCCACAACAGAAGCAACAACAACGAGGGUAGUAGCAGCAUGAACUGCUACAGUCUGCUGUCUCAUGGAGGAUCCUUGGGAAGAUUGACCCUUCUUCUUCUUCCAGAACUUUCUCUUCUGACCACUCCUUUUAGUCGGCUCGGGAGCGGUGGUAGUUUCCUCGUUGUCAUCACUGUGAUCAAUUAGGGUUUGGGCUAAACUCUUGGCACUAUCAUAGGUAUCCGGACGUGCAGCUAAAACAUUUCCCUUUGUUGGCUGGGUCAGCCCCUAGAUGAACUUUUCUAUCUUUUUACUUUCAGGAGUGACCAAUCCCGGGCAGAGAAGUGCGAGGUCAUCGAAUCGAGAAGUGUAUGUUGCAAUAUCGAAACCCUUCAUCUUCAGGUUCUAGAGCUCGUGCUCUAGUUUCUACAUUUCACCACGGGGACAGUAUUCGGCUAGCAGGAGUUCUUUCAUGGCUUCCCAGCCCAUGGCGUUGGCUACGGGUAGGGUCAGAGAUUUGACUCGGCCAUUCCACCAAGUCAAGGCUUUAUCAAUGAAGGUACAAGCUGCGAACUUGACCUUAUCAGAUUCCGCACAGGCACAGAUUUCAAAGAUGGAUUCGAUUUUCUCGAACCAUCGGGAUAAGGAAAUGACACCUCCAGUGCCAUUGAAGGAUGUUGGUUUUGCAUUCAUGAAAUCCUUAUAGGAACCCUCCUUUCGGUGUCCUUUGGAAAACCUGAUGUUUUCCUAAUACUUUAAAUUACGUGUUUUAUAUAUUGUUAUGCCGUUGCGAUGUUUGUAUUCGAUAAUUCCAGGUGACAUUGGAUUAAUUAUGGGUUGUGAGUUGUUAUAAUCACACAUUAAUGCAAAUGACUAGCUUACAACUAUACAAACGAUCCCUUAGGCGUCGUCUGUACUAUUCACUUAAUCCAACCACCCUGACUUCUCAUAGCCCCACAACCUAGGAGAAAAGAGGGUGCGAAGCCCCCGUUAUUUCCAUAAGUCGUUCAAGGCUAUCGUGAAUGCGAAAGGCCCUUGGCCCGACUCGCAUUUGACUUCUCGACUUUACUAGCAGUACCAAAGGACCCUUGUGGCCGAACAGCACAAAAGCUAUUCAAAGUCCUUUUACACGGAAUUAGGUCGUAUAAGACCCAACAACAUGUAAGCGCGUUUCCUUCGGGCCUAAAGAUCAUGUCAUUGGGCUAGCUAGGCCCAACAAGCACGAUUUGAAACUUUCAGGCCCAAAGAUGGUGUAUUGACUUCUUCUGAAUUUCCGCGUGUGUAUUGACUUCCCGUAAAUUUCCGCGUGUGUAUUGAAGUAUCAUUUUUUAUUGAUUUUUGAUUCGUUAUUGAUUCGAGACCGAAUCAAUUCGUUUGGUAACGAUUUUGGUGUUGAGGGUGUAUUACGUUUCGCCGGUAGUCGUGGUACUCGUAUUUUAUCUUAAAGGAUUUACUGUUUUAAACAUUAGAAUUUUUCUUUUUGAUGCCCCGUCUUGGAUAAAAUUUAUACUUUUAACCCUUUAUAUAAAAAAAUUUCCAUUUUAGUCCUUAAACCAUUUUUAUUGACACUUUAAUAUCAAAACUUGUUGAAAAGACAUUUUUCAGCCCAAAUUUACUUGAUAAACAGUUUCAGUCCAUCAAAAUGAAAUUUUCUCGAUUGAAACCUCCAUUUUUGCAAUUUUUACAAUUUUGACCCAAAAUGGAAAAUUUGUGCAUCUUUGGUCGCUUUUAAAUUUGAAUAGCAUUUUUAACCCUUGAAAUGGACUUGGUACACUAGUAGUCCCCUGUUUUACAGAAAUGUGCAGUUUUAGCCCCUCCAAAUUAAAAAUCUCGCAAUUUGGGGCUUUAUUGGGCCGAAAAGUCCAUUUUUGGCCCAUUAUGUUUAAAAAUUCACAUUUUAACCCUUCAAAAGUGUAAAUUUUCAGAAAAUACAUAUUAGAAACUGUUUUGACUCAUCUCAACCUUCAGAAUUUAUAUUUUGUCGUUUUGGGCCCUUUAGUUUUGUAUUUUUAGCAUUUUGAGCCCAAAAAUGGGUUUUAAGCCCAAAGAUGUUCAUAUUAACCAACUUGGUUAUUUUUCUAGACUUGAUUUGUGUGAAAUAAUAUAAGUUAUACUUAUUUCAUUCAACAUAUUGUAGAUCUCGGUUUCUAAGUUCUUUUUGACUAGUACCAACACCACAAUCACAUAUGAUCAUAUAUAUAAGCAUAGAAAUCACACAAGGCAUACAUAUACUCAUAGAUCUACACAUUUGCUUGUAUUCUCCCCCACAAAACUUAUAAAAACCGAAAAAUAGGGGGUAUGAAGCUCACCUUGAGUUGGGUUUCGUUUUUGGAGAAGAUUGGAAGAAGUUUGAUGUUGUUUUCGGCUCUAACAAGUCUUCCCUUGUUGAUUUCGAACUUAGGGAGUUUCUAAGAGAGUGAUCAUGAUUUUUGCAUGAUUUAGAAGGAGAUUUUUGAUAAAACAAAGAAUCUAGAUCAUAUAUCCAAGCAUAAUCUUACCUUAGAUGAAGAAUUUGUGGAAAUAUCUUCUUGAAAAACCUUUAAAAUUCGAGAUCUUGAUGAAGAGUGGAGGGAGUUUACUUGAGAGAUUUAUGAGAGAAUUGUGUGUGUGUGUGUGUUUGGAAUCGGCCGAGAAUGAGAGAGAGAGAGAGAGAGAGAGGGAGAAGAAGAGAGUGCUUGCAUGGAAAGAUGAGAUUGCAUGGAUGUUUGAAGUGUAAAACAUGGAUAUCCCCCAUAUAAAAGUGAGGUGUCAUGCAAUAAGUCAACUUAUUCCUUUCCUUUAGGCUUGGGCCGAGAAUGGGGAGGGUGAGAGGAGGUUUUUGGGGUUGUUGCCCUUAAGCCCAUGUUAUAGUUAAGUUGGGUGAUUUUUGGCCCCAAAAAAAAUAUAAAUGUGAUUUUUAUGCUUUAUUAGGCUAGAUUAGGUUAAUUAUAGUCCAAAAUGGUUCAUAUAAUUAAUCUAUUUCUUUCUAGGCCCAAUAUGGCCCAAAAUAUUGAAUUAAUUGGAAAUGGGUCCAAUUAGAGCCCAUUUAUGAGUUCUAAGCCCAAGAUAGUCAAAUUGGAAGCUUAUUGGUCCAUUGGGCCCAAUAAGAAAGUCCUAGUCCAAAAUGGACCUAAACAAGAACUUCUAGGGUUUCCAAUUGCUUGUUGACUAUUUGUAGUGCUUGUAUGGUGUAUUUGAUUGAAAUUUUGUUGUCAUAGAGUAAGCAUCAUACAUGCCCUUAUGUUUUUGGAUUCAUAAUUUGACUUAAGUGUUGUAGUUACAAGGCACAAAAAUUCCUGAUUGUGACAUCAUCCCCCCGUUAGAAGGAAUUUCGUCCCGAAAUUAUUUUGAAAGCUAGAUUUGAGAAUGCUAGAAUAAGUGAGGGUACUUUUGUUUCAUUUGAUCUUCGCGUUCCCACGUGAAUUCUGGCUCACGCUUCACGUUCCACCAUACUUUCACGAUCGGGAUGCAACUUUGCUUAGUACGCUUCACCUCCCUAUCCAUAAUUUCAACCGGUUCUUCAACGAACAGUAGAUUCUCAUUGAUUUCAAUCUCGUCAAGGGGAACGACGAGUGUUUCAUCCGAUAGACACUUCUUUAGAUUAGAGACAUGGAACACGGGGUGUACACUGUUUAGCUCCGCGGGUAGCUGCAGUUUGUACGCCACUGGACCAAUUCGGGCAACGAUCUCAAAAGGUCCAAUGUAUCGUGGGUUUAGUUUUUCGGUUUUCUGAAACGAAUGACUCCUUUCCAACGUGAAACUUUUAACAGCACUCGAUCCCCGACCUGAAACUCUAAGGGAUUUCGCCGUUUAUCGGCGUAACUCUUUUGUCGGUCGUGCGAUGCUUGUAAUCAAGCUCUGAUUUGAACUAUCUUUUCCUUGGUUUCACGAAUGAUCUCCGGUCCCGUUAGCACCUUGUCCGAUGCUAGUGUCUUUGCUAGCUGGGUGUCGCCCACCUCAGCCCAACACAAUGGUGAUCUACACUUACGUCCAUAUAGUGCUUCGAAAGGAGCGACUUUGAUGCUCGAAUGGUAACUGUUAUUAUAAGAGAAUUCAACUAAGGGUAAGUGGAUGUCCCAAGACUUCCCAAANACAUAACGGUGAUCUACACUUACGCCCGUAUAGUGCUUCGAAAGGAGCGACCUUGAUGCUCGAAUGGUAACUGUUGUUAUAUGAGAAUUCGACUAAAGGUAAGUGGGUAUCCCAAGACUUCCCAAAGUCUAUCACACAUGCGCGAAGAAUGUCUUCAAGCGUUUGAAUGGUUCGUUCGCUUUGACCGUCCGUUUGUGGGUGAUAAGCGGUGCUCAUGUCGAGGUGGGUUCCGAGUGCUUUCUGGAGUGAUUGCCAAAAACGUGAAGUGAAUCUACUGUCUCUAUCUGAGAUAAUAGACACUGGUAUUCCAUGAAGUCUCACGAUUUCUCGAAUGUAUAAACGCGUCAGUCUCUCUAUCUUGUAGGAUUCUUUUAUUAGCAGGAAAUGAGCAGAUUUCGUCAGUCGGUCGACUAUUACCCAUAUGGUGUCUAGUCCAUCCAGCGUCUUGGGUAGCUUGGUCACAAAAUCCAUAAAAAUCCCUUCCCAUUUCCACUCAGGGAUCAUCGGUUGCUAUAAUAAUCCUGAGGGCUUCUGGUACUCCACCUUUACCAUGGCACAAGUAAGGCACUUACCAACAUAGGUGGCAAUUUCUGCCUUCAUGUUAGGCCACCAAUAGUGUUGUUUAAUAUCCAAAUACAUCUUGUCCGAGCCGGGAUGGAUGGAGUAUCGCGUUUUGUAAGCUUCCUUCAUGAAUACCUCCCUAAAUCCUCCGAGUUUAGGGACCCAAAUACGGUUCAUGAAAUGGUAUACUUCGUCCUCUCUCACUUCUAGGUUCUUUUCCAUUCCGCGUGAUGCUUCGCUUGCUCUGUUUUCCGUCUUCAUGGCAUCUGACUGGGCUACCCCGAUCUGAGUAGUUAGGUGAGAUUGGAUGGUUAUUGAGAGAGUUUUCGCACGAUGAUUAGAGUACUCCUUCCGACUCAACGCAUCAGCUACCACGUUGGCCUUGCCUGGGUGGUACUUGAUUUCACACUCGUAAUCGUUUAAUAAUUCAACCCAUCUUCGUUGCCUCAUAUUCAGCUCUUUCUGAUUCAAGAUAUGCUUGAGACUUUUGUGGUCCGUGAAGAUGAUGCACUUUGUACCAUAAAGGUAAUGCCUCUAAAUCUUCAGAGAAAAGACCACCGCUCCCAAUUCCAGAUCAUGGGUUGUAUAAUUCACUUCGUGUGUCUUUAGUUGGCGGGAUGCGUAAGCUAUCACCCUUCCACGCUGCAUGAGAACACAACCUAAGCUCUGAUUCGACGUGUCACAGAAGACCACGAAAUCUUCCGUUCCCUCCAGUAGAGAUAGUACCGGGGCACUACAGAGGGCUUGCUUCAGGGUUCCGAAUGCGACUUCUUGUUUGUCUGUCCAUUUGAAUGGUACGCCAUUUUGUGUAAGUGAGGUAAGUGGCUUGGCGAUCUUUGAGAAGUUUUGAAUGAACCUCAUAUAGUAGCCUGCUAGGCCUAUGAAUUGGCGAAUUUAUAUGGGUGUUGUCGGGACUGCCCAUCCUUCGACGGCUUUGACCUUGGAAGGAUCCACAUGAAUUCCUUCUUGACUAACAACAUGACUUAGGAAGUUCACACUACGGAGCCAGAACUCACACUUGGAAAGUUUUGCGUAUAGCUUUUCUGAUCGCAGAGUUUCUAGGAUUUGUCGGAGAUGUUGGCCAUGCUCUUCCUCGCUUCGGGAAUAGACGAGAACGUCGUCAAUGAAGACGAUGACAAAGUUGUCGAGGAAUGGUCGACAGAUUUGGUUCAUCAGAUCCAUAAAUGCGGCAGGGGCAUUUGUUAGACCGAAGGGCAUUAUGACAAAUUCAUAAUGUCCGUAACGAGUUCGGAAAGCGGUUUUAGGAAUAUCCUCUUCCCGGACUUUGAGUUGAUGGUAUCUGGACCGUAGAUCUAUCUUAGAAAAGUAACUAGCUCCUUGGAGCUGAUCAAAAAGAUCGUCGAUUCGUGGGAGUGGAUAGCGAUUUUUGACGGUGAGUUUGUUUAAUUCUCUGUAAUCGAUGCACAUCCUAAAAGAUCCGUCCUUCUUUUUGACAAAUAGGGCCGAAGCUCCCCAUGGCGAGUAGCUGGGUCAGAUGAAUCCCUUGCCCAGGAGUUCACUGAGUUGACUGGACAAUUCCUGCAUUUUAGCAGGAGCUAGCCGGUAGGGCGAUUUAGCGAGAGGGGUUGUUCCUGGUACGAGGUCAAUUCGGAACUCAACUUGUCUCUCUGGGGGUACUCCAAGAAGAUCUUCAGGAAAUACGUCUGGGAAUUCACGUGCUAUGGGAAUGUCUUGAAUGUUAACCUCUUCCUUGGUUUUAUCCACUAUGUGAGCCAGAAACGUCAAAUCGUUCUUUCGUAGAUGCUUUUGUGCCUGGAAAUAGAAAAGUCAAAAAGAAAGAGGACUGGUGAGCACAAAUGGGGGCCAUAAGGCCCUUUAAAUAGGCCCCAAACCCGAGAAAUUAGGGUUUCAUUUGUCACACCCCAAAACCACGAACGGCGGAAACGUUCAGGGGUGGAGGACGUCGUGGACAGUAUCACAACAGUGUAAUAUAAUAAACAAGCAACAACAUCAUCCAUUGCAUUAUAAGUAGAGUUUUAAUACAUGUGUGUAAUUCCAUAAUGUACAACAAUAAUAUGAAUAAUCAAAAUAAGGCGAGUCUUGCCUGUGCUCCAUCUUCUCAAAAAUCUGGUCAUCGCACCUGUCUAACUGAUGACUUCAGAAUACAAGUUAUUUUGAAAGCGAGUAUCAGCUUUAAAGCUGGUGAAUUCAUAAGUAAUUAAGGUGUCAUUGUCUGGCUUAUGAAAAUCUACUAUGAAGGCCAUGUAAACCUUUAAUGAAAAUGUUGAUGUAAGCAUGAAAAACCCUAAAAAAUCCCUUGUUUUCUAUAAGUAUGAAAUGUAGUCUUCUACCAAGACCCGAAUGUUUUGUUAUGACAAUGUAGUCUUCUACCAAGACCCGAAUGUUUUGUAAGUAAAAUGAUAGUUUUUCCUUCAAUUGUUUAGUACUAAAGUACUUAGUCUAACUCAUCGUUUAUGUGAAAGUAUCACAAAAUAAAGUAAACAGGAAAAUGUACUACUGUAAGUGUUGUCACUGGGUACUAGGACUAACACAACAUCGCAUUAAGCGAAAGGUAUAACCUAAUGAACAUCCGAAGAUUGUCCAGAACAAGUAUUAACGUAAGUUCUACUACUGUAAGUGUUGUCACUGGGUACUAGGACUAACACAACAUCGCAUUAAGCGAAAUAUGUAACCUAAUGAACAUCCGAAGAUUGUCCAGAAAAAGUAUUAAUGUAAGUGUCAUCGCUGGGUACUAGGAGUAACACAACAUCGCAAUAAGCGAAAGGUAUAACCUAAUGAACAAUCGAAGAUUGUCCACUUGUCCUCUGUAGCAGCAGUAGGUGGGUGGAGGGGUUAGCCCCGGUUAUCGAUCUACCUAGUAUAAGUAGUAACCUUAGACCUCCGUAGAUGGUCAUCGACCACUGGUGCUAAUCAGUGGGGUUCGGAAUGGUAAGUCCCGCCGAGAUAUCCCAUUGAACCGGGAUAGGAAAGAUAAUUUACACAGAAAGUACUAAUAAAUCAUCCUCGUAGUUCUAAGUACAAGUAUCCAGGUAAGUGAAUACAGGAUAAUGCACCUAUGUAAAAGUGUUCCUGUAUGGUAUUCAUGUAUGUGUGUCCAUGUAACAGGUAAGUAUAUGUAAACAUAUUCAUGUAUCAGGUAAACAUCUGUAAGUACUCAUGUAUCAGGUAAUGUACUAGUAUAGACUCAUGAAUGAACUGACUCUUGUGUGAUUCCUUGUAAUAGAAGUAAUGUUUGAUAUCUUCAAAUUAUCCCUAUGAUAAUUUACUGUAAUAUAACUGGUUGAUCAUGUAGGUUUAUACACUCUUACUACUCAAGGGUGUGGGAAACUAAAUGAAAGAUGUAAACUAUAACAUCAAUACAUAUAUAAGAAUAUAAGUGUAUAUGCAUAGUUUAGUUCAAGAAUGUAAAAUGGUUUUGUAAGACAUCUUAUGGGUUUUGAACAAUAAUUAACAAUGACUUGAUGUCAUUUUAAUAAACAUUUCAAAAGUAAAACAUUUGAUAACAAUGUAUUUUUAAGAUUUAAAACCAUUUCAUGCAUCACAUUUUGUAGUAUGUGAAAUCUGUUAAAUGACAAACACAGUUAUAAAAUACAUAUCAAUGAUUUAAUAACAUGUUUGUUUCUACUUGUAUUCCCCCCAUUAAAGCAUUUAAAAUCAUUUAAAACAUUGAUUAGGGGUAUGAACUCACCUGUAGUUGGUGAUUGGGAUGAACUGAACGGUAUAGGAUUGCUAGGUGUCAAGCGAGGACUUGUACACACACUACGAUCCUAAUGAACAUAUAAUCACACAUAUAUGCACUCAGUUAGUCUCAAAUCACUAAUUGAUAAUGUUAAGACAUCCUAGACAUAAUAAACACUUUAUAUAAGUGUUUUAAGCCCUAAGGAUUUCAUCUAAGCUAAUGUGGGACAAGGCACUUGUGUUUAGGGUUCCAAAGGACCCCAUAUAUGAGUUUACUCCCCAUAUACCAUCACACAUGGAGUUUACGGUUGUAAACUCUUGAGUUUACGGCCGUAAACUCCCAACCAUGGGUGUAUUGUGUGUUUUGAAGUUCCAAAUGAUUCCUAGAAUUAUUCCAACUUGGUGGUUAAAUUCUUGGAAGGGUUUAAGGUCUAGAAACACUCCAUUUAGGAGUUUACGGCCCCAAGGCCAUUUCCCUUGGAGUUUACGGUUGUAAACUCCCUUGGGGUGUUGUUUUUGUCGUUUUCAUGCCUCAUGCAUAAGUGGGAUAAUUUCUAAGCAUUUGUUUAAAGCUAAUGAGGACUCUAGGCACACUUUGGUGCCAUUGUUUGGUCUUUACGGCCUAGGAGCAUUACCAAGGCCGUAAACUCACUUCAAGAGGUGAUUUUGAUGUGGUUUUGUCCGUAAAUUAAGUGGGAAACAAUUCCAUGUAAAGGUCUAGGGCUUUAGGUGUCUUAAAAGCACCCUUUGGUCCAUUUCUAUGGAGUUUACGGCCUAAGAUGCACUUGGGCCGUGAACUCCCAUGUGUUUGUGUUAUUUGAUUGUUUUCUUGUCCUUAAUACACCUACAAUUGAGUCUAAGGCAGUAGCAUAACACAAGGGUCGGUCUAGGCUUUGUUUCGGGAGUUUACCGCCCAAGAACACCUUGGGGAGUAAACUCCUAAAUCUAGUGAUUUAGCCUUCUAAAUCAUGUUAUUAACACAUAUAAAGCUUUCUAACACUACUAGAAAGAGGUACUCAUGAUUUGGGAUAAAAACCUGAAGAUCCGUGAGAGAGAAAAUGGCUUUUCUCUAGUUGGAAAUGCGAAUAAUGAAUGAAUUUGGUUUAGAAUUCUAUUUAUAGUCCUGAGAUAUUUUUGGCAGAAAAUAUUUUUAUUCCUGAAAUGAUCUCUAAUAUAAUAGAGUGUUGGAAUAACAGUGUUGCACAAAACCCUAGUGCACCCACUCUCCUGAUAUCUCUUUAAGUGUAAAUCCUGAAAACUGCCAAACUUAUACCCGUAGUCUGGAAUUUCCCUGAAACUGUUCUAAGCUCUAUUGUCUUGAUAUAGGUUGUUCAAAAUGGAAAUUUCGGGUUGUCACAUCAUUAAACAAUGCAGACUCGCCGAGUCCACCAAUGCGACUCGUCGAGUCCGGUCAAUAAUCCGGGUGAGAAAUCGCGUCUCUACUCGGCGAGUCUACGCACCAACUCGCCGAGUUCUUCCACAAAACUCAAAAUAAAAAGAAUAAAUCUAAUACCUGGAAUUCCGGAUGUUACAAUUCUCCCCCACUUUGAUCUAUCUUCGCCCUCGAAGUCUCAUUCCUAAAAUAGCUCCGGAUGCUGCUCCCGCAUCUCACGCUCUGGCUCCCAGGUCAACUCGGAUCCCUUCCGAUGUUGCCACUAAACCUGUACCAGAGACACCUCCUUGUUCCUCAUAACCUUGAUUUUCCGAUCCACAAUCACAACUGGUCUCUCCGCGUAGUUCAGGCUUGGAUCUACCUGAAUGUCCCCUAACGGCACUACCGCCGACUCGUCGGCUAUACACUUCCUCAACUGAGACACAUGGAAGGUAAUAUGAAUCUGCUCCAAUUCCGUAGGUAGCUCCAAACGAUAUGCUACCCUGCCCGCUCUCGCGAUCACUCUGAACGGCCCAAUAUAUCGGGGCCCUAGCUUGCCCCUCUUCCUGAAUCAGAUCACUCCUUUCCAAGGAUAUACCUUCAAGAGAACAUAAUCACCGACCUGGAACUCGAGCUCGGAUCGACGCCUAUCCGCAUAACUCUUCUGGCGGCUCUGAGCGGUCAACAAUCUCUACCUGACCCACUGUAUCUGCUCUGUUGUCUGAAGUACAAUCUCUAUGCUACCCAUAACACGCUGCCCGACCUCGCCCCAGCAAAUGGGGGUCCUACACCUCCUCCCAUACAACAGCUCAAAGGGUGGCAUACCAAUGCUUGAAUGAUGACUGUUGUUGUAGGAAAACUCUGCCAAGUGCAAAUGCGUGUCCCAACUCCCCCCAAAGUCCAACACACAUGCCCGGAGCAUGUCUUCGAGCGUUUGAAUCGUCCGCUCACUCUGUCCGUCAGUCUGGGGGUGAUAUGCGGUACUAAAAUGCAGCCUAGUACCCAACUCCUCGUGAAACUUCUUCCAGAAUCUGGAAGUGAAACGCACAUCUCGGUCUGAAACAAUCGAGAUCGGCACUCCAUGUCGUGAUACCACUUCCCUCACGUACAUCUCUACUACUUUCUCCGCGGAAGAACUCUCACUGAUAGCAAGGAAGUGGGCACUCUUUGUCAACCUGUCCACAAUCACCCAAAUUGCAUCGAAUCCCCUAGCAGUCCUUGGCAAUUUGGUGAUAAAAUCCAUGGUAAUCUGUUCCCACUUCCAUUCGGGAACCUCCAACGGCUGCAACUUACCAUGCGGUCUCUGGUGCUCGGCCUUAACCCUACGGCAGGUUAAGCACCUCUCAACAAACCACGCAACAUCCCUCUUCAUACAGGGCCACCAAUACUCUCUCCUCAGGUCCAAAUACAUCUUAGUGGCCCCAGGAUGGAUCGAGAAUUUCGACCGAUGAGCCUCUUCCAUCAAAAUGGUACGCGUCCCUCCCACAAACGGUACCCAUAUACGCCCCAGAAAUGUCAUAAGCCCCCGACCAUCGGUAACGAACUCCGAUACCAACCCAACAACUUGUUCUCUCUUCUGGUUCUCCGAUCUCACGGCCUCAGCCUGUGCUCCACGAAUGGUGUCCAACACCGGAGCCAUCACGGUCAAUCGCAAACAUACAUCUCGCAAUGGGGCGCUCUCCGCCCUGCGACUCAGGGCGUCGGCUACCACAUUAGCCUUGCCCGGAUGGUACAGGAUCUCACAAUCAUAAUCCUUGACCACAUCCAACCACCUCCUCUGCCGCAUAUUUAGGUUGGGCUGAUCCAUCAAAUACUUCAGGCUCUUAUGGUCCGUGUAUAUCGUACACCGAACCCCAUACAGAUAGUGACGCCAAAUUUUGAGGGCGAACACCACUGCCCCCAACUCUAGAUCAUGGGUGGGAUACCUCGUCUCAUGAGGCUUCAGCUGCCUCGAUGCGUAUGCUAUCACAUGCCCUCUCUGCAUCAGCACCGCUCCCAACCCCAAGAUCGACGCAUCACAGUAUACCACAAAGUCCUCCAUCCCCUCCGGGAGGGCUAACACCGGGGCUUCGCAUAACCUUUGGCGAAGCGUCUCAAAGGAGGCCUGCUGCUCGGGGCCCCAUGANAAAUUUCCAUUCUGUACAAACUAUAUCACUUCAAUAGAAGUUAUAGCAGUCACUGUUAAUUUUCAGACUUUUUCGCAUAAGUUUGAGUAAUUCAGGGUUUACACUUCAGGAAAUAUCAGGAGAGUGGGUGCACUAGGGUUUUGUGCAACACUGUUAUUCCAACACUCUAUUAUAUUAGAGACCAUUUCAGGAAUAAAAAUAUUUCCUGCCAAAAAUAUUUCAGGACUAUAAAUAGAUUUCUGAACCAAAUUCAUUCAUUAUUCACAUUUCCAACUAGAGAAAAGCCAUUUUCUCUCUCACGGAUCUUCAGGUUUUUAUACGAAAACAUGAGUAACUCUUUCUAGUAGUGUUAGAAUGCUUACUAUGUGCUCAUAACAUGAUUUAGAUGGCUAAAUCAUUAGGUCUAGGUGUUUACUCCCCAAGGUGUUCUUGGGCGGUAAACUCUCGAAACGAAGCCAAAACCAACCCUUGUGUUAUACAACUGCCUUAGACUCAAUUGUAGGUGUAUUAAGGACAAGAAAACAACCAAAAUCCACCCAAGUUUGGGAGUUUACGGCCCAAGAAUAUCAUAGGCCGUAAACUCCAUUUUCAAACUCAAAAUGGCACUUUUAAGGCUCCUAAAGCCUUAGACAAUUACCUAGACUUGUUCCCAUUUAAUCAAGGGCUUGAACCACAUCAAAAUCACUUAACAAAGUGAGUUUACGGCCAAGACAUGGUUCUUGGGCCGUAAACUCCUAAAAGGGGCACCAAAGUGUGCCUAAUGCCUUCAUAUGCUUGGAAUAAAAGUCUAGAACCUAUACCACAAGUGAAAAAGACUUGAAAGCAUCAAAAACACACCAUACUUAGAGUUUACGGCCGUAAACUCUAAGGGGAAUGGCCUUUGGGCUGUAAACUCCUAAAUGGAGUGUUUCUAGACCUUAAACCCUUCCAAGAAUUUAACCACCAAGUUAGAAUAAUUCUAGGAAUCAUUUGGGACUUCAAAACACACCAAAUCCCCAUGGUUGGGAGUUUACAGCGUUAAACUCAAGAGUUUACAACCGUAAACUCCAUGUGUGAUGGUAUAUGGGGAGUAAACUCACAUAUAGGGUCCUUUGGAACCCUAAACACAAAUACCUUGUCCCACAAUAGCUUAGAUGCAAUCCUUAAGGCUUAAAACACUUAUGUAAAGUGUUUAUUAUGUCUAGGAUGUCUUAACAUUAUCAAUUAGUGAUUUGAGUCUAAUUGAGUGCAUAUAUGUGUGAUUAUAUGUUCGUUAGGAUCGUAGUGCGUGUACAAGUCCUCGCUAGACACCUAGCCAUCCUAUACCGUUCAGUUCAUCCCAAUCACCAACUACAGGUGAGUUCAUACCCCUAAUCAAUGUUUUAAAUGAUUUUAAAUGCUUUAAAGGGGGGAAUACAAGUAGAAACAAACAUGUUAUUAAAUCAUUGAUAUGUAUUUUAUAACUGUGUUUGUCAUUUAACAGAUUUCACAUACUACAAAAUGUGACGCAAGAAAUGGUUUUAAAUCUUAAAAACACAUUGUUAUCAAAUGUUUUACCUUUGAAAUGUAUAUUAAAUUGACAUCAAGUCAUUGUUAAUUAUUGUUCAAAACCCAUAAGAUGUCUUACAAAACCAUUUUACAUUCUUGAACUAAACUAUGCAUAUACACUUAUAUUCUUAUAUAUGUAUUGAUGUUAUAGUUUACAUCUUUCAUUUAGUUUCUCACACCCUUGAGUAGUAAGAGUGUAUAAACCUACUUGAACAACCAAUUACCUUUCAGUAAAUUAUCAUAGGGAUAAUUUGAAGAUAUCAAACAUUAUUCCUAUUACAAGGAAUCACACAAGAGUCAGUUCAUUCAUGAGUCUAUACCAGUACAUUACCUGAUACAUGAGUACAUUUACAUAUGAUUACAUGAUACAUGAGUACGUUUACAUAUGCUUACAUGAUACAUGAAUACGCUUACAUGAACACAUUACAUGAGUACCUUGACGUAGAUACACUUACCUGUGUAUAUUAACAUGAAUACUUGUAUCUCGAAUUGCGAGGAUGAUUUAUUAGUACCUUCUGUGUAAAUCUUCCUGCCUAUCCCUAGUACCUCGGGAUAUCUAGACAGGACCCUAUCCCUAGUACCUCGGGAUAUCUAGACGGGACCCUAUCCCUAGUACCUCGGGAUAUAUGGACGGGACUAACCAUUCCGGAACCCAGCUGUUAGCAACAGUGGGUGAUGAACAUCUACGGAUGCCUACGGUUAUUACUUAUACUAGGAGUACCUUUACGGGACUAACCCUUCCUCCGCCCUGCUGCUGCUACAGAGGACAAUUGGACAAUCUUCGGAUGUUCAUUAGGUUAUAUAUGUCGUGUUAGCCCUAGUACCUCGGGAUAACAUUUACAUAUGUCGUGUUAGCCCUAGUACCUCGGGAUAACACUUACUUUAGUAUAUUUUCCUAUUUACUUUAUUUUGUGAUAGGUUAUACGUUUCGCUUUACGCGAUGGCGUGUUAGCCCUAGUACCUCGGGAUAACACUUACAUUAAUACUUUUUCCUAUUUACUUUAUUUUGUGAUAUAUUCACAUAAACGAUGAGUUAGACUAAGCACUUUUAGUACUAGUCAAUAGAAAGGAAAAACUAUCAUUUUACUUACAAAACAUUCGGGUCUUGGUAGAAGACUACAUAGUCAUAACAAAACAUUCGGGUCUUGGUAGAAGACUACAUAGUCAUAACAAAACAUUCGGGUCUUGGUAGAAGACUACAUAGUCAUAACAAAACAUUCGGGUCUUGGUAGAAGACUACAUUGUCAUAACAAAACAUUCGGGUCUUGGUAGAAGACUACAUUGUCAUAACAAAACAUUCGGGUCUUGGUAGAAGACUACAUUGUCAUAACAAAACAUUCGGGUCUUGGUAGAAGACUACAUCUCAAACUGAUAGAAAAUAAGGGAUUUUCUAGGGCUUUUCAUACUUAUAUCAACAUUUUCAUUUAAAGGUUUACAUGACUUUUAAAACAGCUUUUCAAAGCAAGACAAUGACACUUAAAUACUUAUGAAUUCACCAGCUUUAAAGCUGAUACUCUCUUUCAAAAUAACUUGUAUUCUCAGGUCAUCAGUAGACAGGUACGGUGGCCAGGUUUUGAGAAGACGGAGCAGACAAGUCUCGUCUUUUAUUUUGAUUGUAUAUUUUUGGUGUCUUAUUACAAUGAAAGAACACACAUGUAUUAAAACUUUACUUAUAAUGCAAUGGAUGAUGUUGUUGCUUGUUUAUUAUAUUACACUGUUGUGAUACUGUACAUGACGUCCUCCACCCCUGAACGUUUCCGCCGUUCGUGGUUUUGGGGUGUGACAGAUUGGUAUCAGAGCAUUGUUUAUAGUGAAUAUAGUAUAUCAACCCAUAAAAGAUAUACUAACUAUAAAUACAUCGGGAUUAAAACACUCUGUCUCAGAGUUAUACUUUUAAAUAAUAAAAUAUUUAACAAAGUAUACGUGCCUGCAUUCAUACUAAAAUCAGUGUCACAAUGACAAGAACAAAAGUAUUACGAUUGUUGAAUAUCACAAGUAAGCCUGGGGAUAUAUGGUCAGUCUUGGGAAUGGCAUAGCCUGAUCAACUAUGCUGGUCCGAGGAGUGAUUAGAAUAUGCCCAAGAAUGGUUGUGAUAUGGCAACAAGUCUAAAAACUUACCAACACAACCAUAAAGAAAUACCAUAUGGGUAUUUGGUCUUACUGUAAUUAUCUUAGUUAGUUCGUCUAUUUUAGCUAUUUCUUAUAUCCCUUUUCUCGCGUAGAUUAAAAUGGCUGGAUUUCACCAUGGCGAUCCGUACUUCCCAAACCAAGGCAAUGCUGGUUGGCUAGAGGCUGAACCAGAAGAUGAUCACCCAAUUCCUUUGGAUGAUCACCAUGCUGAGGGUUUUUCUGAUAGUUCUGACUCGGAGCCAGAAGUCAACAACCUACCCCCAAAUGCUCAAAACCCAAACCUGAACCCCCGCCCUGUGUUUCAAGGACCCACACCUCUGUGGGCCACUAACUUGAUUACAUGGAGUCAUGAACAGGGUCAGCCCAUUCCCUACAAUGGAGACCGAAGUUUCUACAACCUCACUGAAGGAGGUUCUGCUGAUAGAGUCCUACCAAUCAUGGUGCGUAGGAUUUCUCGGAACUCGAUAAUGGCUCAGGCGACUAUCAAUCAAGUCUUGGAAGUUGACACCAACUCUGGUGUUAACAUUGUCCAUAUUCGCCAACUAGAGUCUGCACAUGAAAGGACUCUGGUCUGCAAUGCAAAUCUGCAAAGAGAACUUGCUGAAACCCAAGCUGAAGUUAGAGAACUUGGAGCUCAGCAAGCAAGNGCAAGCAAGGUCGGACAGGCGUAUAAGGGACAUUGAACGUCUACUGUCGGGAUCGAGGACUCAUGCUAGCAGUUCUCGUCGCCGAUAGAAUCUCGUCGACUCAUCUUUUGGAUAUAACCUAGUUUAUGUAAAACUUUGGUCUAAUUUCCUAUCUGUAUAAAUCUUAGACCUGUUAGGUCUUGAUCUAGUCUUAAUUCUGUCAAAAUUUUCCAUCUUGGUUGAUGUAAGGCCUACUUCUAGGCCAUUUUUCCCGAACUUGUUACAUCUGUAAUUCCAGUAUUAUUGACGGAUAUCUAAUCUAAUGGAAAUUAUUAUCCAAAUGCUAUCUUCUUCAUUUAGUGAUACUAUUCUUUCUGUUGUUGGGCUAUGGGGAUUUAGUCCAUGAGACACAUUCAUUAAUCAUUUAUUCUUAUCCAUUUCGUCAUCUUUUCAACGUAUAGUUAAAGAUGCCGCCACGCAGGAAUCCAAGGCGAAACCCAAACAACGAAGCACCAAUACCACCACCUCCACCACCACCUGAACCUCUACAAUCACCAAAUCCUUUUGAUGCCAACAUGUUCCAGGAAGCUUUCACAGCAGCAGUUGCAGCUACUAUGUCAGCAAUCAAUUCUCCUGCCCCUAGUGGAUCAGGAACAGGUGCACCACCCUCGAACCACGGCGAAAGCCAUGGACACCCUCGGGAAUGCACCUACAAGGACUUCACUAACGCCAAACCCCGCAGCUUCAAUGGAACUGGGGGUGUAAUGGUGUUGAGACAAUGGAUUGAAAAGAUGGAAUCUGUCUUUGAAAUCUGUGCUUGCCAGGAGGGCAACAAGGUCAAGUUUGCAGCUUGUACCUUCUCUGACAGAGCACUAACAUGGUGGAACAGCCAUG
rnacentral:lncRNA from 1 species